AAUGGUAGGGUGAUGAUCAGAAAAUCCUAUUUUCACCAUUCUCCUCAGCCAUUGCCUGGCUUUGGCUGCUCGGGGUCUGACACAUAUUAGUGGGGGAAACCAUCCUUUUCUGCAGUGCUUGGUGCCCAUCAUGGAGGCUGCUCUCCCUCCCUCCUCUGGUGCAGAUUGUGCUCAGCCUGUCCUGGCUUCCCCUUCUCAGUGAUGCUGCUGUUGCUGCUCUUGCUUGCUGAUGACAGUCACAGUGGGCCUGCACACCUGGAGCUACAGAGGCAGUGUCAGAGAUGGAAGAUGUCCUGUCAGAGAUGGACGAUGUCUUCAGGAGAUGGAGGAAACUAUAUUUAGGGAGUUAAAGCCUCCCAUCAUCACCCAAUGCUGAUUCAAACCCCUUUCGGUGGACUGACCAAAGAAGACCUCAUCCUCAUCUGCCUUUAUCAUAUCUAGUGAUCUAGCAAUGAUGUCAUCAUGCUCUUUUCCCCUUUCCCCUUAUCUCAAAUCCUCUCUACCAAUUGGCCUUCUGUUCCUUGGGUCUCUCUGAGAGUAAAUGUUUUACAAAACCACAGUACCCCUCUUUUUUUCCCUGCUUGUCUUUCCUAAACUACUUAUACUCUU